ACCCAGCUAGCUCAGUUGGUAGAGCAAAAGAUUUUUAAUCUCAGGGUUGUGGGUUCGAGCCCCGUGUUGGGCA